rnacentral:rRNA from 1 species
GCGUGAGGGAAGACUGCCCUAUGGGUUGUAAACCUCUUUUAUAAGGGAAGAAUAAGUUCUACGUGUAGAAUGAUGCCUGUACCUUAUGAAUAAGCAUCGGCUAACUCCGUGCCAGCAGCCGCGGUAAUACGGAGGAUGCGAGCGUUAUCCGGAUUUAUUGGGUUUAAAGGGUGCGUAGGCGGUUUAUUAAGUUAGUGGUUAAAUAUUUGAGCUAAACUCAAUUGUGCCAUUAAUACUGGUAAACUGGAGUACAGACGAGGUAGGCGGAAUAAGUUAAGUAGCGGUGAAAUGCAUAGAUAUAACUUAGAACUCCGAUAGCGAAGGCAGCUUACCAGACUGAAACUGACGCUGAUGCACGAGAGCGUGGGUAGCGAACAGGAUUAGAUACCCUGGUAGUCCACGCCGUAAACGAUGCUCACUGGUUCUGUGCGAUAUAUUGUACGGGAUUAAGCGAAAGUAUUAAGUGAGCCACCUGGGGAGUACGUCGGCAACGAUGAAACUCAAAGGAAUUGACGGGGGCCCGCACAAGCGGAGGAACAUGUGGUUUAAUUCGAUGAUACGCGAGGAACCUUACCUGGGUUUAAAUGGGAAAUGCCGUAUUUGGAAACAGAUAUUCUCUUCGGAGCGUUUUUCAAGGUGCUGCAUGGUUGUCGUCAGCUCGUGCCGUGAGGUGUCGGGUUAAGUCCCAUAACGAGCGCAACCCUUACCGUUAGUUGCUAGCAUGUAAUGAUGAGGACUCUAACGGGACUGCCACCGUAAGGUGAGAGGAAGGCGGGGAUGACGUCAAAUCAGCACGGCCCUUACACCCAGGGCUACACACGUGUUACAAUGGCCGGUACAGAGGGCCGCUACCAGGUGACUGGAUGCCAAUCUCAAAAGCCGGUCGUAGUUCGGAUUGGAGUCUGUAACCCGACUCCAUGAAGUUGGAUUCGCUAGUAAUCGCGCAUC